GUGGGGAAUAUUGGACAAUGGGCGCAAGCCUGAUCCAGCAAUGCCGCGUGCAGGAAGAAGGCCUUCGGGUUGUAAACUGCUUUUGUACGGAACGAAACGGUCCGGGUUAAUACCCUGGGCUAAUGACGGUACCGUAAGAAUAAGCACCGGCUAACUACGUGCCAGCAGCCGCGGUAAUACGUAGGGUGCAAGCGUUAAUCGGAAUUACUGGGCGUAAAGCGUGCGCAGGCGGUUUUGUAAGACAGGCGUGAAAUCCCCGGGCUCAACCUGGGAAUUGCGCUUGUGACUGCAAGGCUGGAGUGCGGCAGAGGGGGAUGGAAUUCCGCGUGUAGCAGUGAAAUGCGUAGAUAUGCGGAGGAACACCGAUGGCGAAGGCAAUCCCCUGGGCCUGCACUGACGCUCAUGCACGAAAGCGUGGGGAGCAAACAGGAUUAGAAACCCUGGUAGUCC
rnacentral:rRNA from 1 species